AGUGAACGCUGGCGGUAGGCCUAACACAUGCAAGUCGAACGGCAGCACAGUAAGAGCUUGCUCUUACGGGUGGCGAGUGGCGGACGGGUGAGGAAUACAUCGGAAUCUACUUUGUCGUGGGGGAUAACGUAGGGAAACUUACGCUAAUACCGCAUACGACCUACGGGUGAAAGCAGGGGAUCUUCGGAGCUUGCGCGAUGGAAUGAGCCGAUGUCGGAUUAGCUAGUUGGCGGGGUAAAGGCCCACCAAGGCGACGAUCCGUAGCUGGUCUGAGAGGAUGAUCAGCCACACUGGAACUGAGACACGGUCCAGACUCCUACGGGAGGCAGCAGUGGGGAAUAUUGGACAAUGGGCGCAAGCCUGAUCCAGCCAUACCGCGUGGGUGAAGAAGGCCUUCGGGUUGUAAAGCCCUUUUGUUGGGAAAGAAAAGCAGCAGGUUAAUACCCCGCUGUUCUGACGGUACCCAAAGAAUAAGCACCGGCUAACUUCGUG
rnacentral:rRNA from 1 species